UAGCUGCUUUGCAGAGCAGCGGGAGAUCAAAGGCUCCCCCGACUGCCCCCCGCCCGCGGGACAUUGUGACACGCGGGUAGGACAGGGACUGAAUAGCGCAACUGUCCGCUGGAAUCCCGACAGUUGGGAGGCUCCUUCCCGGAUAAGAACGAUGCUCCUCCGGAAGGACAGGACCAGCACCCCUGUAUUUUAACAACACCCCUGUAUUUUUACAGCAUACAAGCCAGGAUGUUGUUCAAGCUCGCACGGAUAAGAUCAAUCAAUGGUCCCGAUCCCUGAGCGUCUUCCUGAGCGGUUGGUUGCUGUAGCAUUCUGUGACUGUCUGGCAUGAGGGAAUCUUGCAGUGGCGUUGAUGGAACUUUUCUGUCUUCUUCACUUACUUUUGCUCUGCAUCAUUUUCUUCUGGGAAGCGGAUACAUCUGGAGAUGGAAGAAUGCAAUAAAAAAACAAUAAUAAAAAUACAGUUUACCAACAA